AUUGAACGCUGGCGGAAUGCUUUACACAUGCAAGUCGAACGGCAGCACGGGGGCAACCCUGGUGGCGAGUGGCGAACGGGGGAGUAAUACAUCGGAAUGUGCUCGGUCGGGGGGGAUAACGUAGUGAAAGAUACGCUAAUACUGCAUACGAUCUGAGGAUGAAAGCGGGGGAGCGUCGGGCCGCGCGCGAUCGGAGGGGUCGACGUCAGAUUAGGUAGUUGGUGGGGUAAAGGCCUACCAAGCCGACGAUCUGUAGCUGGUCUGAGAGGACGACUGGCCACACUGGGACUGAGACGCGGCCCAGACUCCUGCGGGAGGCAGCAGUGGGGAAUUUUGGACAAUGGGCGCAAGCCUGAUCCAGCCAUUCCGCGUGCAGGACGAAGGCCUUCGGGUUGUAAACUGCUUUUGUAUGGAACGAAAAGGCUCUGGCUAAUACCUGGGGCUCAUGACGGUACCGUAAGAAUAAGCACCGGCUAACUACGUG
rnacentral:rRNA from 1 species